GUCCCCGUAGUUUAACGGAUAGAACAGUGGCCUCCUAAGCCGCGGAUGGAGGUUCAAUUCCUCCCGGGGACA
rnacentral:tRNA from 1 species